AACCAGAAUUCCAGACGAAGUUCUCAGGUUGAAGAGUGAGCGGGGUGAAGAUGGGGAAGCCGUUGAGAGAACGUUCUAGUUAUCUGAAACUAAAAUGUAACGUUCGAAAGAAAAAUCGAACGUUGUUGCGAAAAGCUGAAAAAAAGCCGGGAAAAAGCAUAUCGAACGUUAUUAUGGAGAGCUGGAGAAAGCAUAAAUAGUUCCAUCUCUUUCAUUUAGAGAGAGUGUUCUUCCUCUUUGUUUUGUUCUGUUUCUUAGUUCUCUGGCUCUUUAUAUUUUCUUUCAAUGUCUUUUAUUGGAGGUUUUUGUUUGUUUUGUUUUAGAUUUUCAGUUUGUUUGGUAAGGGUUUUGUGCUGUGAUUUGUUUUCUUUUUUUCUGUAGUUUUCCUGUUUUACAUAGGAAGAUGUGGAACAGAGGAAGGGAAAAGCAAAAGGAAGAGGCAGAGCAAAAGGAAGCACAAUUUCUUGUUCUAGGAAUACAUGGCUGGCAGGAAGCAUGAGAAAGCGAGGAAGGAUGGAGGAGUUGUGCUACUUUGUCCUUCCUCCCUCCUCCUCAGUAGUCAAGAGAGGAGGUACAACAGAGGUUGAUAAUCUCACAGGGACCUGCCCAUUCUGGGUUGAAUGACAUGCCCUGUGCAACUACAUUAAGGGACGAUGGAUCUUUAUGCCCUGGAGCCAAUGCCAAUUCGACUAGGAAAUUUGAGGUGAUACAUGAUAUUUAAAUUGAAGAAGUUGUUGCAAUUGUUAAAACUGAUGCAAAUGUAAUUUAUAAAUUGAGUUAGUUUACUGGAUAAUGCAAUAUUUAAUAUCUAAAAUUGAAGAAGUUGUUGCAUUUUUAAA